rnacentral:rRNA from 1 species
GACGAACGCUGGCGGCGUGGAUUAGGCAUGCAAGUCGAACGGUAGGAUACCUUCGGGUAUCUGAGAGUGGCGAACGGGUGAGUAACACGUAGGUGAUCUAACCCUCAAGAUUGGGACAACCCGGGGGAAACUUGGGCUAAUACCGGAUGUGAGCAACUUUUAGUUGUUUGAAAGGUGGCGUAAGCUGUCGCUUGGGGAUGAGCCUGCGUCCUAUUAGUUAGUUGGUGAGGUAACGGCUCACCUAGGCAAUGAUAGGUAGGCGGCCUUAACGGGUGGUCGCCCACACUGGGAUUGAGAUACGGCCCAGACUCCUACGGGAGGCAGCAGUCGAGAAUAGUCUACAAUGGUCGGAAGACUGAUAGUGCGACGCCGCGUGAACGAUGAAUCCCUUCGGGGUGUAAAGUUCUUUUAUAUGUGAGCAGUGCUUCUUAUAUUAACAGUAUGGGGAGAGAGAUAUUAGCAUAUGAAUAAGCAACGGCUAACUCCGUG